UACAGAGGUGGCAAGCGUUGUUCGGAAUUACUGGGCGUAAAGGGCGCGUAGGCGGCCUACUAAGUCAGACGUGAAAUCCCUCGGCUCAACCGGGGAACUGCGUCUGAGACUGGAAGGCUUGAAUCCGGGAGAGGGAUGUGGAAUUCCAGGUGUAGCGGUGAAAUGCGUAGAUAUCUGGAGGAACACCGGUGGCGAAGGCGGCAUCCUGGACCGGUAUUGACGCUGAGGCGCGAAAGCCAGGGGAGCAAACGGG
rnacentral:rRNA from 1 species